rnacentral:rRNA from 1 species
AACGCGAAGAACCUUACCAGCGUUUGACAUCCUCAUCGCGGAUUCCAGAGAUGGUUUCCUUCAGUUCGGCUGGAUGAGUGACAGGUGCUGCAUGGCUGUCGUCAGCUCGUGUCGUGAGAUGUUGGGUUAAGUCCCGCAACGAGCGCAACCCCCGUCCUUAGUUGCUACCAUUUAGUUGGGCACUCUAAGGAAACCGCCGGUGAUAAGCCGGAGGAAGGUGGGGAUGACGUCAAGUCCUCAUGGCCCUUACGCGCUGGGCUACACACGUGCUACAAUGGCGGUGACAGAGGGCUGCAAACCCGCGAGGGUGAGCUAAUCUCCAAAAGCCGUCUCAGUUCGGAUUGUUCUCUGCAACUCGAGAGCAUGAAGGCGGAAUCGCUAGUAAUCGCGGAUCAGCACGCCGCGGUGAAUACGUUCCCGGGCCUUGUACACACCGCGUGUCU